UACGAAGGGGGCUAGCGUUGCUCGGAAUCACUGGGCGUAAAGGGUGCGUAGGCGGGUUUUAAGUCAGAGGUGAAAUCCUGGAGCUCAACUCCAGAACUGCCUUUGAUACUGGAGAUCUUGAGUCCGGGAGAGGUGAGUGGAACUGCGAGUGUAGAGGUGAAAUUCGUAGAUAUUCGCAAGAACACCAGUGGCGAAGGCGGACUCACUGGCCCGGUACUGACGCUGAGGUGCGAAAGCGUGGG
rnacentral:rRNA from 1 species